ACUCCUACGGGAGGCAGCAGCCGCGGUAAUACUCCUACGGGAGGCAGCAGUGGGGAAUAUUGCACAAUGGGGGAAACCCUGAUGCAGCAACGCCGCGUGAAGGAAGAAGGCCUUCGGGUCGUAAACUUCUGUCCUUGGGGAAGAAACAAAUGACGGUACCCUUGGAGGAAGCCCCGGCUAACUACGUGCCAGCAGCCGCGGUAAU
rnacentral:rRNA from 1 species